GUACUAACCCAGCACCUAGAGAAACGCCGGAGUCUAACGGGUGUGUCAUAGAUAUCUGUCGACUCUUGGAGAAUAAUAUCGCUUCUUCCUCACUUCACAGACCAUGGAAGGACCCCCAACCUUCAACCCGCCUGUGCCAUAUUUCGGGAGGCUGCAAGGAGGGCUCACAGCUCGAAGAACCAUCAUCAUCAAGGGCUAUGUGCCCCCCACAGGCAAGAGCUUUGCCAUCAACUUCAAGGUGGGCUCCUCAGGGGACAUAGCUCUGCACAUUAAUCCCCGCAUGAGCAACGGUACCGUGGUCCGGAACAGCCUUCUGAAUGGCUCGUGGGGAUCCGAGGAGAAGAAGAUCACCCACAACCCAUUUGGUCCUGGACAGUUCUUUGAUCUGUCCAUUCGCUGUGGCUUGGAUCGCU
rnacentral:sRNA from 1 species